rnacentral:rRNA from 1 species
UACGUAGGGUGCGAGCGUUGUCCGGAAUUAUUGGGCGUAAAGAGCUCGUAGGCGGUUUGUCGCGUCGACUGUGAAAACCCGAGGCUUAACCUCGGGCCUGCAGUCGAUACGGGCAGACUAGAGUUCGGUAGGGGAGACUGGAAUUCCUGGUGUAGCGGUGAAAUGCGCAGAUAUCAGGAGGAACACCGGUGGCGAAGGCGGGUCUCUGGGCAGUAACUGACGCUGAGGAGCGAAAGCGUGGGGAGCAAACAGG